rnacentral:rRNA from 1 species
CCCUUAGAUGCUCUGGGCCGCACGCGCGCUACACUGGUCGAUGCAACGAGUUUCUUUCCUUGGCCGACAGGCCUGGGCAAUCUUUGAACGCUGUUCGUGAUUGGGAUAGACCUUUGCAAUUAUGGGUCUUCAACGAGGAAUUCCUAGUAAACGCAAGUCAUCAGCUUGCAUUGAUUACGUCCCUGCCCUUUGUACACACCGCCCGUCGCACCUACCGAUUGAAUGGUCCGGUGAAAUCUCGGGACGGCGGCUUGGUCGCUUGCGUCCGACUGCUGAAACUUGAUUAAACCAUAUCAUUUAGAGGAAGGUGAAGUCGUAACA